UUUUUGGCGGCCAAGUUAAAUGAGGCGUUCGAACACAAACAUUGCGUCUUGCGUUUUGUUUCGGAGAUCUUCAUUAAAGUUCAAAUUUACCACUAUUGUUGACAAGACCCAGCCCUCAACAGCCAACCCACAUUUCUAGUGCCGUGGGGAAUCGGCAAGGUUGUCUUCUGACAGACCACACAUGAUAGUUCCAGAAGCCGUCAAGCAAGUCUUUCUGAACACAAACAGUUACAUGGAG